GAUCAGGGUUAGUGCUCCAGUCAGACUCUACUACUACACCCCCCCCCAUUAGGAUCAGGGUUAGUCCAGUCAGACUCCCUGUCUUUACACCACUGGUUAGUCUUCAGCCCUGCUUCACUACGGUUAAUCUGACUUCUAAACCCUCCACUAUAACCUCAUCUGAUCUAGUCUCAGAACAUAAUACAUAAUACAUAUAUAAUCCAUAAAAUAAUGAUGCGUAAAUAAACCUUUAUUAUGCUAUACCGUAAAGCUAUAGAACUAAAGUACUGUCAGCUCAGAGUAACUAAGGCCCCGUCCACACGAAGCCGAAACGGGCGAAACCGUUACGGUUUCGAUCUAUCCCGGUUUCGAAGUAUCUCCGUAAAGACGAAGCCAAGCGAAACCGGAUAGAUCUGUAGAAACGCUGUAGUAAACAUUCCAGGCCCAUAAGGGGCGCUGCUUCUGGUACACAAAUCCAGAAGAAGAAGAGGCGAGCAUGCGCAUAAAGGCUGCCCCCCGAACCACUAACAACACAAACAAACAGCUCUUCGACUAUGGCGAACUAGAUUCUCAAUAAAUAAUGGCUUAGCAACCCAACAAGGGACAUAAUAUGCUGCAGAACGAUUACAAGCUUGUAGUCCGCCAUCAUCUUUUUUGUUGUGAUUUCUGAGACUCCGCGGGCUUAAGCGCCAUUGGCUAGGAGGUCGAGGGGUGGGGGCGAUGACGUCAUGGUUUGCGGUUUCAGUCGGUUUCAGGCGUCCACACGAAACCAAAACGAAACCGGAUAGAUUUGAAACCACCUCCGAGGGUGGUUUCAGAAGUUUGCGGUUUCGGUCAGCGGAUUCGCCGGCUUCGUGUGGACAGAAGGCCGAACCGUACAAGACCUUUGCGGUUUCGCCAUGUAAUCGGCUUCGUGUGGACGGGGCCUAAAGCUUUGGUUUAGUUUAGUUUAGCUAAGUUUAGUUUAGUAGGCUGUACUGUCAGCUCCUGAUGGAUCAGAGUAACUAAAGCUUUGGUUUGGUUUAGUUUAGUUUAGUUUAGUUUAGUUUAGUUUAGUUUAGUUUAGUAAGCUGGACUGUCAGCUCCUGAUGCGCUCAGAGUAACUUAAGCUUUAGUUACUGUUUAGUUUAGUUAGUAGUUGGUCGGCUGUGCGGUCAGCUCACCGUCGAUGAGGUGGGGAGGGGCGUGGUAGCAGGGUGCACGCUGCAUGUUCUCCUCCAGGCUGAAGGGAACCUCAUAGGCGUCCAGGUACAGACUCCCUCCUCCGCCUCCUCCACCUCCUCCUCCUCCUCCUCCUCCUCCUCCUCCUCCUCCUCCUCCUCCUCCUCCUCCUCCUCCUCCUCCUCCGCCUGAGGAGGGUAAAGUGAGCUCCAAUAUGGAGGAGUUGUAAUACUGUACUACUGUUCAACUUAACACAAGUAUUACCUCUGGUGGUAUAAAGAGAGGUCCUUAAGGAGCAGGUAGGGGUUAGACAGUACAGAGACAGGUCAUUAAGGAGCAGGAAGGGGUUAGACAGUAGAGACAGGUCAUUAAGGAGCAGGUAGGGGUUAGACAGUACAGAGACAGGUCAUUAAGGUGCAGGUAGGGGUUAGACAGUGCAGAGACAGGUCAUUAAGGUGCAGGUAGGGGUUGGACAGUACAGAGACAGGUCAUUAAGGAGCAGGUAGGGGUUGGACAGUACAGAGACAGGUCAUUAAGGAGCAGGUAGGGGUUAGACAGUACAGAGACAGGUCAUUAAGGAGCAGGUAGGGGUUAAACAGUAGAGACCAGUCUUUAAAGAGCAAUAAGGGGAUAGACACAGAGACAGUAUAUAAAGAGGAUCUUAGUCCGAUUAAUUAGGUAUAUUUACAUUGGCUUAUUUUUUUUAUUCUAUAGGAAAUUAAAUAACUGGUGUAAAGGAUAUUCAAACAUUUCGUGCUGUAACUAGUAAGGGCGAGUGUUCAAAACGUGUCUUAAUCCCAUCGUCAUCCUCCCAGCCUACAGUAUACCUUUAGAGGCUGUAGCCUUACCACUAACCACAGCCAUGGAACGGACCCUGAUCUACACUUUAUACUAUUAACAUUAAUAUUAAUGUGUGAAUCAGCACUUUAUUUUACCUGCGGUCUCCGUUUCGUUCCUGCUCGGGCUCGGAUUCAUCUCUGCGCAAAUUUCGCUUAAACUCUGAGAAACGAGCGAUUAACUUGUUGAUAGUGACGAAUAGGGACGAUAAAUUACUUUCUCCAAACUUUUCCUAUUUUCUAUAAAUACAGAAGUCGGUUCGCCGUGUUGAGUUAUAGUGCAGUAAUAUCGGCUGAAGGUUUGCAGAGUUCAGUCACAAGGCGAAACUCUCUCACUAAUUACCUGAUUAUAAGUGCCUGGCGAGGAGCGGUCUGCGCCUGCGCACACGCGCUAAUGUCAAUGUUUUUAUUUAUUUAUGAAUAAUUCUAUUUUUGCCGUCAACUUCCUAUUCAUGCCCUCGGUUAUAUGUAUACGUGCAUAAAAGGUGCGUGUACUUGGAAUAUGUGGGGUCCCAGUCAAAAAGUGCUAUUGGUAAUACGAAACUUGGGCGGGGCUCAGGUGUGUGUGUAAUGUGUGUGUGUGUGUGUGUGUGUGUGUGUGUGUGUGUGUGUGUGUGUGUGUGUGUGUGUGUGUGUGUGUGUGUGUG
ensembl:lncRNA